GGCCAGAUAGCACAGCGGUUAGUGCGCAGAUGUUUGAUUUGAGGUUCAAGCAAUAUUUGAUCUGCUACCCUUGUUCAACUCGGGGUCUGGCCU